ACUCGAUCCGCAGCUUAUCUGGCUGCUGCUGCCACAGCUGUGGGGCUGCAUAUGCAGAUAGCCUCCAAUAAUAUUAAUACGCGAUUCCCCCCGUGGGAGGCAUGUGGAAAACUCUGUAUGUGUUUCACAAUUCUGUUUCGUCCAGAGGAGCAGUGGGGGCCCAGAAUGAUUUGAAACAGAUUUUUGGAAAAGCAAAAUAUAAUUGGAACAAAACCUAGUAGAGGCAUGUGCCACUCUUGCCACGCCCAGCUCCCUCCACCCCUGCCUGAUGUUAACCCUCUUCUCCCAUCCUGGGGAGCCUCUGACAGCAGGGAGGCGAGCACAGCACAUGGCAUCCGGCACUCCUCCUUCCAACCAGGAGCCCCUGCCUGGGACGCAUGCCCCCACCCAUCCAGAGGUGAAGACCGCUCAGCCUGUGGCUGCCUCUCUCCAGCCUCUCUGCCUACGUCCCACAGCUUCCUCCUCCGCACCUGGGUGCAGAGAGAAUUUCAUCCAAGCACAUGGCCCCUUGGUCUAACUGAGAGAAUUCUCCAGUACAUCCGUGGAGAGAUCACCAGUCGUGCUGAGGCCUGAGCCGGCAGUUCUGCAGCUGCUCAGGUGUGAUCACCUGCAGUUAGAUGUGGGACCCCUGAGCCGGCAGUGACUUGUCACAGAGUGAACGCCUCAGGAACAGGAGAGCUAUCCCGGAGACUUCCUCGGGCGCUUCGGUCUCCUGAAAACGAGGACAGCAGAUAAAUAUUGGAAAAGACAAUAUUGUGCCGAAAGGACAAAAAGUGCCGACUUGAGCCGCCCCACGCGCACCAAAGCCCUUCUCCCUCAAUGCAGACAGCCUGUGUUUCCAGGGAAAUGAAGACGAACACAUUUGUUGCAGCCUAUUGAGAGCAAGUGGAUUCUUCGCUAAUUCACAAACAUCUGUUACUCUGAAGGGCUUCAUGCAUCUUAUGAAAGGUCCGGAGAGGAGCGGAGAACGUAGGCGGACUGUGGCAACAGCGUUAACACUCGGGUCCAGGGGAGGGGCCAGGGGUCUCCUGAUGCUAUUCACUCUGCUUGCUGCAGGGCCAGAGAAGGAGAUGCCAAGUCCCAAGGGGAGACCCAGCAUCCCAGAGGAUCUCCAUCAAUAAGAGCCAGUGCUGCCUUUUGGAUUCCAGAACCAGGAAGAAGAGUGUGCUCCAGGGAGAUCGCUGUGGCGGGCAUGACAAUAAGAGCCCGUGGCCUCCAUUUCUUCAUCAUGCAACAGUGCUAGAAGAGCGGCCAGCCGCGGGCUUGCGUGAGGCUUUCAUCAGGGCGCUCAGGUGAGGACCUCAGCAGCGUGCCGGCACCUGACUCACACUCGGUAGCCCUUACCUGCGUACCUCCUGUUUCCUGUUUCCUGUUCCAGGUUCUUCCCCCCAUCCCGUCUGCUGAUCAGCAAAAGGAGGUGUUCAGUUCAACAGCACAUUUUCCAACUUCCGACUCUGCUGAUGACUGGCACUGUCCCUCAAGAAGACAGCUUUGGCCGUCCCUACACAUUUAAAUGUGCACACCCACUAAUUUCUUGGAUUAUGACUAGAGAAAUACCCACAGAAGUGCACAAGACAGAUGCCCAGGAUGUUCAGUGAAACACUGAGUGCUGAUGACUUGAAUGUCCACCAUCAUAAGACUGUCUAGAUAAGUUACAGCAUACCUAUCCCUUGGAAAGCAACGUAGCCUGGAGAAAAGAAUGAAGAAGGAAUUGAACCAUCCUCCCUCUGCUGAAAAAAAUCCCAUGAGGAAUUCUGAUCAGAUGCCAGAGCUGUGGAGCCGAUCCCCUGGAGGCUAUCAUGUUUCUAGAAGGCUCCUAGAAGGCAACAAGUCUUGCAACCUGACUCUUAACUGACUUCUUACCUGUUGGAUUGUCUCAGGGCAAGGGGAAAAGGACACAGGCAUGCUUUCUGCUUCCAGACAAAAUUAUGUAUUUCAUAAUGGAAGAAAUCUUUUCAUACCAACAAUUGAAAUUCACUGGACCCUGUCAAAGGCAACAGAGGGCAAGAGACCUGGAACCCAGCUGCCUGGGUUUGGGCACCAGCUCUACCCCUUAUCUGUGGGGCCCCGGGCAAGUUGCUUAAUGUGUCUAUGCUCCGGUUUCCUCCGGUAAAAUGCGGGUGAUAACAGUACAUGAAUCCAUGUAUUUUUGUGAAGAUAAAACUGGGUUUGUCAGACUGAAGGAUUGUCCAGGGACGCUGGGGGAUACAACUGGGAAAGUCCCAGGCAAACCCACCCUAAGAUAAAAGGGGAGUACACUGUAGUGCUUUAGGCACAUUUCACUGCUCCGUCCGUAGUCUUAGCUGCCAUCAUUCACGGUUACCCCCGGCAGCCAUCUUCCUUGCCAUUGGUGCCAUGGUCCUUGUUUACUUAUCGUCCACUCUAUAGGGGACUUCCGUGUGUCUCUUAACCCACAACACCAUUGAUCUGGCACCACCAAAGUCCCCCAGGAAAUGUUUCUUGCUGUUUAUAGAACAAGCUUCCAGAGAAUCAACUAUAUGCCAGGCAAACAGCUUCCCAACAAAUCGUGUAGUCUUUCUCCCUCAACCCUCCAGCAGCAUCUAACUUGAAGGUUAAAAUAGAGAGAACGCCAUGUGAUGACAGACUGAUGUACUCACAUCCAAGGAAUAGCCAUGAUGGCCAGCAACCCCAUGAAGCUAAGGGGAGAGGCCUAGAACCUUCCCCCUCACAACCCCCAGGAGGACCCAACCCUGGCAACACCUUGAUUUUGGACUUCUGGCCUCCAGAACCGUAAGAGGACAGAUUUUUGUCGGUUUAAGCCCUCUGGUUGGUGGCACCUUGUUACAGCAGCCCGAAGAAUCAAGGACAGCCUGCUUAUGACCCAAGUCUAGACCUUCCCAGUCUUGUGUCCUGACAAAUCCAAGGGCCUCUUCAUUGGUCUCCCUGCCUGUGUUAUCUGUCUCUCCUCAUGUCUGUCUGAAAACACCAGCUUCUGGCUCCCAGGUCAGAGACACCCCGUGACGCCCAGCGCCUCCAUCAGCACUUCCCAAAUUUACCGGAGGGUACGAAUCCCACAGAUGAUACUUCAAAUUACAGGUUCCCUGGCCCCAUUCCAGACCUCUGGAAAUGGGCUUGUGGAAGGGGAGCCUUGGAAUCUGCAUUUUUAAUGAACAUCCAGAAUGACUGGUAACCUCAGGGACAUUUGGGGCACUCUGGCCCACGAGAUGAAAUCCAGAAGAGACCGAGGAUCUUGGUUCUGUGACUUCCAUACCAUGACACCAACCUCAUAUGCAAAUGUCACUUCCUGAGGUUUCCAGGGCCUCAGAAUUCAUCCCGCUGUGCUGCCUGCCUCGCAGUCCUUCAGCUUGCUCAUCCUCUACCCAAGGAUGCUGGCGUCCUUGAGAACCACUCCGGCCUCGCCAUCCCCCCCCCCGCCCCCCCGAAAACUGCUCUUCCUUUCCUCCCUCUUCUAAAUCUAGAAUCCAGAAUCUGAAUGAUGCCACUUAAAGCUUAAAGUUAUCGCUGAUUACUCAGAGACAGCCUUUCGGUGAACUCAGAAUAAAAACGAAACCCCACACCCCCGCCUGCAAAGACCCAGCAUGACCGGGCCCCGCCCACCUCUCACACGCCUCCUCUUCUGGAACCAUUCUCCUUCAGUCUCGAAGUUCCAGGCACGGGCUUUCCUGUAAUUCCUCAAACACACCGCAUUUCUCCCACCUGGAUCCUUGCCACAUGCCCUUCUCUCUCCCCACCCCCAACACCUUAUAAUAUUUCAAUAUCAUGUCCUCAGAGCUUUUCCUACAACCCAUCCUAAUUAGAACGCGCACGCGUGCACACAUACACACACACAUUCACUCUCUCUCUCUCUCCACUUAUACUCAAUCACCACCCUGUUUGACCAAUUGCUGACAUUUAAAAAUCAGGAAGUGUGACGUAAAACCAUCCAACCUCAUAAGGAAUCAGAAGACCUGCCAUGACAAAGCCAUGUUCUCAGCCACACAGGUGGGAGGUGAGCCCUGGCCUGGCCACCCCCCAGCCUCUCCACUCCCUUCAGCUACCAUCCUGGGCCCAAACAACCGUGUUUGUGACACUUCCUUGACCCCCCUCCCAAAAUGAAUUCACUUAUCACAUGUCUGCCUCAUGGAAACAGAUGGUCUUGGUCCCCAGAGCAGCCCCAGCGUCUCGCCUGUGCCAGGCACAGGGCUGGACCUCACCGAACAAGAACUGAAUGAGUGAAUGAUGGAUAGAUGGAUUCCUGCCUUCCCGUGUCCCAUAAGCCAUACCAUUCAUUUCGCCUUUUAAUUACACCCUUCCCCACUGCACUCAUUAAUUUGCUGCCCCCGGUGCCUCCCUCCUCUGUAGAGCUUAUGAAAAUACAAAUCUGAUCCUUUCAUCGCCCAGUUGUAAACAUUCGAGGAGUCUCCCAGCACCACCGGGGAAAGCACAAACUGGUCAGGAGAGCAUGUGAGGCCCAUCUCAUCAUCCUUUCCCACCUCCAGAGAGGAGAGGGCCCCCACCACCGGGCACACCCACGCCCCACGCAAUGGCUUACGGAACACACCAUGUUCUUCCCCGCCCCCACACCUCUGCUGCAAAGCUCCCUUUCCCUGGAAUGCCUCCUCCCCCGUCCCACAGCCCGCCAUGCCUCUAGCAAACUCCUACUCAUUCUUCUGCCCGAUCGCUAACCAGAGAGUCACUUCACUGUGAAACACGCCAGACCGCCCCCCCACCCCCAGGCUGACUUAGUCAUUCUCUCUCUUCUGCUCCCACCCUCCUCCUUUCAUACCCUGGCCUCAGCCCUGAGUAAUGGCUCAAAAUAGCAGCUGGUGUCUUCUGAGUGCUUGCCGUGUGCCAGGACAGAGUGAGCUUUAUCGCCUUUAAUCCUUGCACUCGUGCUGAGCCCCUGCCUGCAAGGAAGCCUUCCCCGCUCCGCCCCCUCCCCCAAACACACAGAGAUGCAGGAGGAUCACUUUCUCACCCCAGCUUCCCUGAGAGGUCACCCCUGCCACCUCCUGUUGGAUUUUCUUUCUCCUUCCACACCUUGCUCUACCCCCCUGGCCUCCCCAUCUUCCCUCCCUGCUUUAUUUUUCUCCACGUAUCACUAACACACUACACGUUUUGAUUAAUCUGUGUGUUCAGUCUCUACCCUGUGGAAUGUCAGCUCUGGGAGGGCAGGGAUGUUGUCACGUCUUGUUUACUACUGUAAGCUUACCUUCUAGAAUAGCACCUGGCCCAUAAUAGACUAUAAAUACUUAUUAAUUCAAGGAGGAUAGAUGUUAUCACUAUCUUCGGUUGAUUCCCAAGGUAAAUGGUCUAGAGAGAGAGAGUAAGAUGGGUUCCACAGGUGGUAGAGUCAAAUGUGAUCUCUGGAAUGUCAACUCCAACAACCCCCCACCACCCUCAACUACAGCGGCCACCACUUCCUGAAGACAUCUCUCCCUGGCUCUGACUUCUUAGCUGGACGUGGGUUCCUUGGAAGCAAGAACUCUAUUGUAUUCAGAAUUUUGUUUCCUUGCAUGAUCCAUGGUAGAAGCUCAAGAAUAUUUGCGGAACCAAUCUAUAUGUGAACUGUGAAAUGCUAGAUGGUAGAAAUCCUAUCCUCACUUUUUAUCCUUUAUCUCCAUGCUGAAAGCAGUGCUGUAGACAUAGCUGACGCUUUAAAUACUUACUACAUUAACAAAUUCUGUUAUGGCACUAGGUCAUAAAAAUAAUUAGCAAUCAUGACAAUAAUGGGUAACCUUUACAAAGUCCUCACUCUGUGCUGGGCCCUUUCCUGAAUGCUUUGCACACAAAUGAAGAUGAUCAACUCUCUUCCUAUCCUCAUUUUAUAGAUGAUGAAAUGGAAGCUCAGAGAGGUUAAGAGCUUGCCCAAGGUCACACAGCUAGGAAAUAGCAGAGGCAGGAUUUGAAUGUAGGCACCUGAGAGUCACAUUUUUAACUAUUCUGGGCUGCAUCUCAGCUAAGAGAUGUCCAUUACAAGGCCACCCCGUGUGAAGACAAGAAGAAUGGUUUAUUAUACAUUUCUGUUUUAUUUCAAGGGAUUUCUUGAAAUUCUGCCAAAGGCUUUGGUAGGCAGUACUACUUGCUAAAUAAUAACCACUAGCAUGCGUGUUACACUUGAUGGUUGGCAGAGCGGCUUCAUGCACUGCUUUUCCGCUGACCCCUGCAACAAUGUUAUGAGGUGGCUGCUUCUGUCUCGUCUCAUAGAAGAGGACUCUGACGCUCUGAGCGGUUAAACGAACAAGUUCAAGGUCACCCAACCAAUGCGGAGCAGAGCAAGGGCUCAAGUUAACGUCUAUCAGAAAAAUAUUAA